GGCCUCGUGGUCUAGCGGUAUGAUUCACCCUUAGGGCUCUCCUAGUGGGUGAGGCCCCGGGUUCGAUUCCCGGCGAGGCCC